GCUGGGCAUGGUGGCGCAUGCCUGUAGUCCCAGCUACUCGGGAGGCUGAGGCAGUAGGAUUGCUUAAGCCCAGGAGUGUGAUGUUGCUGUGAGCUAGGCUGAUGCCACGGCACUCACUCUAGCCAGGGCAACAAAGCGACACUCUGUCUCAAAAAAAAAAAAAAAAAAAAAAAAAGAAAAGAAAUGAGAUCUCACUCUGUUGCCCAGGCUGGAGUGCUGUGGCAUCCUCGUAGCUCACCUUAGCUUCCAAUGCCUGGGUUUAAGUGAUCCUCCUGCCUU
rnacentral:sRNA from 1 species